CGUGGCACAGCCCAUGAGCGCGUGGCUUCAUUUCUCCUCUGAAACUAGAGAUCAUUUUAAGAUUCUCUCCCAGGUUGAACAUGUCAGCCACUUCUUCCACACCUGCUCACACUGGGCUUUGUGUGCUAAUGUCAGUUUACCAAGAACUAUUUGUUAAGUGUAUGGUGUUUACAGAACACUCUACAGGACUAUAAAAGAGAGAGAAAAUAUAUUGUCAAAGGAUUAGCGAUUCUCAUAAAAAUGUGGAGAAGAAUUUUUUUAAGAAAAUCAUAGUAACAAUAGAAAAAUAGAACAUCAUUAGUAAGUCCAAAAUGUUGAAGAAUGUAUUCAAGAAGGAUAACAGGUGGUAUUAAAAGAAGGAUAAAAGAACAGAGAAAGGCAAAGCCGCGUGUAAGGACGACAUCCCUGCACUGGUCCUGCGAGUGGUCUCCAUUCAGUCAAUAGCUGUCAAGAGUUGGAGAGAACCCAGACAUCAUUAGGGUGAUUAAUUGAAGGACUGCACUUAAAAGAUAGGCAUUUAUCACUCCAUUUCCAUUUCUCUGUAUAUGCAAUGAACAGGAAAUAAUUUGUGUACACAGAUAAUAAAAAAUUUAAA